rnacentral:rRNA from 1 species
GACGAACGCUGGCGGCGUGCUUAACACAUGCAAGUCGAACGGAAAGGCCCUGCUUUUGUGGGGUGCUCGAGUGGCGAACGGGUGAGUAACACGUGAGUAACCUGCCCUUGACUUUGGGAUAACUUCAGGAAACUGGGGCUAAUACCGGAUAGGAGCUCCUGCUGCAUGGUGGGGGUUGGAAAGUUUCGGCGGUUGGGGAUGGACUCGCGGCUUAUCAGCUUGGUGGUGGGGUAGUGGCUUACCAAGGCUUUGACGGGUAGCCGGCCUGAGAGGGGUACCGGCCACAUUGGGACUGAGAUACGGACCAGAAUCCUACGGGAGGCAGCAGUGGGGAAUAUGGCAGAAUGGGCGGAAGCCUGAUGCAGCAACGCCGCGUGCGGGAUGACGGCCUUCGGGUUGUAAACCGCUUUCGCCUGUGACGAAGCGUGAGUGACGGUAAUGGGUAAAGAAGCACCGGCUAACUACGUG